rnacentral:rRNA from 1 species
CCUACGGGGGGCAGCAGUGGGGAAUAUUGCGCAAUGGGCGAAAGCCUGACGCAGCGACGCCGCGUGAGGGAUGAAGGUCUUCGGAUCGUAAACCUCUGUCAGCAGGGAAGAACGGUCACUGUGCUAAUCAGCAGUGAAUUGACGGUACCUGCAAAGGAAGCACCGGCUAACUCCGUGCCAGCAGCCGCGGUAAUACGGAGGGUGCGAGCGUUAAUCGGAAUUACUGGGCGUAAAGCGCUCGUAGGCGGUAUGUCAAGUCAAGGGUGAAAUCCCCGCGCUCAACGGGGGAACUGCCUUUGAAACUGGCAGACUGGAGUGUGUGAGAGGAUAGUGGAAUUCCAGGUGUAGGAGUGAAAUCCGUAGAUAUCUGGAGGAACAUCAGUGGCGAAGGCGACUAUCUGGCACAUAACUGACGCUGAGGAGCGAAAGCGUGGGUAUCAAACAGGAUUAGAUACCCGUGUAGUC